rnacentral:rRNA from 1 species
UACGUAGGGGGCAAGCGUUGUCCGGAAUUAUUGGGCGUAAAGCGCGCGCAGGCGGUCAUUUAAGUCUGGUGUUUAAUCCCGGGGCUCAACCCCGGAUCGCACUGGAAACUGGGUGACUUGAGUGCAGAAGAGGAGAGUGGAAUUCCACGUGUAGCGGUGAAAUGCGUAGAUAUGUGGAGGAACACCAGUGGCGAAGGCGGCAUCCUGGACCGACAUUGACGCUGAUGAGCGAAAGCUAGGGGAGCAAACGGG